UUUGGCAGCACACAUACUUAUAAAAAACAAAAAACUGGAAAAACACACAGAAGACUAGCACAGCCCCUGCUGGAGGAUGACACACAAAUUCAUGACGUGUUCCAUAUAAUU
rnacentral:snRNA from 1 species